AGCACCAUCUCCUUUUACUUACCAGAGUUUAAUAACAGGAAGGUUAUACUUCCUUUGAGAUGGAAUCUAAAAGAGUGAUUAAUAUCAUGGCCUUAUAAGAGAUUGUUUUUGAAGAAAGGAAAUUCAGAUUCACCUUUGCCCACCAGCUCGACAGCAUGAAAUAGGUGUUAACAUUUUCGUCUCCAAACUGCUCGGCCACGUAGAGUCCCAGCGAUCCGUACUUGUCGUAUAUGCUUCUCUUUGAGACGUCGGGUGGCUUCCUGUCAUUUUUUAAGCAGCUUGGAUCUUUGUCAACUCACAAGGGCAGAUGCACCCAAUCCAUUUAUCACACUGCUAACAAUGGAGUUGGGCAAUUUGGAGAGCUGGAACACCUCCACUUGUAACACGUCCAAUUCCUGGUCAUCAGCAACAUUUUGAUUCCUCUUGGCAGAUACUCUUGGCUCCGAGGAAUCCUCGGGAAACAUGAUACCUUCAGAUUGCCAGCCAGAGUUUAUGAAGCAGCCCAUCAUCACAGAAAAACAAGAAGAAGAAACACGAAGAAGGAGAAGAAAAACAAACAAAUUCAGAACUAAAUACCCAAGUUCCAGCAUCACUUCAGCUUAAGGACAGUGUCCUUUGAUGAAAUGAAAAUUGUUCCUAUAUAAAUAUGGUGAACUUAUGAGUAGCUUUUAAAAACUUAUGUUUUAGUUUAUGUUUCAAAUUUAAUCUAAUAAGAAACACUUUUAGUAAAAGUCGUUUUACACAAUUAAUCACUCUCCUUAACCAUUAAUCUUUGUUUUAAAGUAUUACAUGGAACGUUAGUUUCAAAAAGUUAAGUAGUGCAAAACGCUUCAGCAAAGUGGAACUGUAGCUGUGUUUCAAAGAGAAAGCGCAGUAUUCAUCCAACAAUUAGUCACCUAUUGAAUUCGAGCACUGGACUAAGUGCUAGAAAUAUGCUGAUAACAAAAGUCAACACAGACCCUGAGUGUGUGAGUCAAAGAGUUACAGCCUCUGAGACAGGCAGAGAAAAAUCAAAAUGGUCACUCAAAAAGUGGAAAAGUGAGACUUUGGAGAGAUGCUAUAAGAACAUAGAAUCAGUGAACAGUUGAAGAUCAGAGAAAGCUUCCCUGAACAAAAACAACUGGGCAACUAGUGCUUUAUCUAGUUCUUUAUCUGAAAAGAGCUAGCUAAAGGAGUUGCUGGUAGAAGCAAAUAUAUUCCAAGCAGGUGGAAGAGCAUGUUCAAAGGUCCUAUGUGCUUAAGUCGGAGAAAUUGAAGGGACAUUCUGAUGUGUGCUGUCAUACAUAGGACGUCAUUACAUGCCUAUAAGCAUACGGCUUCCAAUAUAUCAUCAAAAGAUACAGCCAGAGAUCAAUGGGAUCAUAUUCCACGUAACCAGGUGAGGCUUUCUAGAAAUGAUGAGUUUCAAAUGAUGUUUGUAAAAGGAAAUUACUCAUGGUAAGCACAUUAAACAGUUCCUUGAUUCAAAAUGCACUAAAUGUAUUGUAAAAGCA